rnacentral:rRNA from 1 species
UACGUAGGGACCAAGCGUUGUUCGGAUUUACUGGGCGUAAAGCGUGCGCAGGCGGUUUUGUAAGUCUGACGUGAAAUCCCCGGGCUCAACCUGGGAAUUGCGUUGGAGACUGCAAGGCUAGAAUCUGGCAGAGGGGGGUAGAAUUCCACGUGUAGCAGUGAAAUGCGUAGAUAUGUGGAGGAACACCGAUGGCGAAGGCAGCCCCCUGGGUCAAGAUUGACGCUCAUGCACGAAAGCGUGGGGAGCAAACAGG